AAUUAAACUCUUACUUGUUUUUAUUUAAAUAUUUAUGAGAAGUAUCUUUAUAGUUAGUAUAAAUAAGGAAAUCUUUUUUUUUGUUAUAGUAAAAUAGUACUGUUAAGGAAUUGAUGAAAUAAAUUAAAUAUUAUUUUUAUAUAAGUAUGUUUAUUUUACAGUACCUUUUGUAUCAGGGUUAAUUAAAUAAAUUAAAUUAUUGUUAUAUCUCGAUUUCAGAAGAGCUAAUUUAUUAUUUUAGUUAAUGUGGAAUAAUUAUUAAAAAUAAAAAUUAGAGGAGAAAUUUUAUUCGGUUCUAAAGGUAUCUAGUUUUUUAAGAAAUAAAUUUAAUUUAAUCUCAUUAUUUAAUUGUUAUAUUAUAUUAUAAAUUAUAAAAUGAGUUAAAAAUUAUAGGGGAUAAGCUCUAUAUUUUUCUAUAAAGGUUUUGAUUAAUUAAUUUUUGUAGGGUUAAAAUUAUCCAUCAUUGGUGAUAAUGUUAUAAUUCAUUUUUGUUAUUAAUUAAUUUUAUUUUUUUUUUAGAUUAUUAUUAAAAUAUCAAUUUUAAUUUAAUAUUUUGAGUAAUAAUGAUUAAAUUAGUAUAAAAUAUUGUUUAUUAUAUUAUUUAUUGAAUGAUAAAAUAAGGAACUCGGCAAUUAUAGUUCUCGCCUGUUUAUCAAAAACAUGUCCUUUUGAAUUUAAUUGAAGGUCUGACCUGCCCAGUGAUGAAUUUAACGGCCGCGGUAUAUUGACCGUGCAAAGGUAGCAUAAUCAUUAGUCUUUUAAUAGAGGGCUGGAAUGAAAGGUUUAACGAGGAACUGACUGUCUCAUUUUAUAUGUUUUAAAAUUUAAUUUUUUAGUUAAAAAGCUAAAAUUUUAUUGGAAGACGAGAAGACCCUAUAGAUCUUUACAUAUGUUAGUUUAAUUGUUUUUAUAUUAAUAUUUUAUAUUAACUUAUGUUUUGUUGGGGUGACAAAAAUAUAAGUAUAACUUUUUUAUUUAUUUAACAUUGAUUUAUGAAUAACUGAUCCAUUAUUAUUGAUUAUUAGACUAAGUUACCUUAGGGAUAACAGCGUAAUCCUCCUCCAGAGUUCAUAUUUACAGGAUGGGCUUGCGACCUCGAUGUUGGAUUAAGAUAAUAAUUAGGUGUAGCCGCUUAAUUUAUAGGUCUGUUCGACCUUUAAAUUCUUACAU
rnacentral:rRNA from 1 species